GAUGAACGCUAGCUACAGGCUUAACACAUGCAAGUCGAGGGGAAACGACAUCGAAAGCUUGCUUUUGAUGGGCGUCGACCGGCGCACGGGUGAGUAACGCGUAUCCAACCUGCCCACCACUUGGGGAUAACCUUGCGAAAGUAAGACUAAUACCCAAUGAUAUCUCUAGAAGACAUCUGAAAGGGAUUAAAGAUUUAUCGGUGAUGGAUGGGGAUGCGUCUGAUUAGCUUGUUGGCGGGGUAACGGCCCACCAAGGCGACGAUCAGUAGGGGUUCUGAGAGGAAGGUCCCCCACAUUGGAACUGAGACACGGUCCAAACUCCUACGGGAGGCAGCAGUGAGGAAUAUUGGUCAAUGGACGAGAGUCUGAACCAGCCAAGUAGCGUGCAGGAUGACGGCCCUAUGGGUUGUAAACUGCUUUUAUAAGGGAAUAAAGUGAGUCUCGUGAGACUUUUUGCAUGUACCUUAUGAAUAAGGACCGGCUAAUUCCGUGCCAGCAGCCGCUGUAA
rnacentral:rRNA from 1 species